ensembl:misc_RNA Metazoa_SRP Metazoan signal recognition particle RNA
GCCAGGUGUGGUGGCACAUCCCUGUAGUCCCAGUUACUCGGGAGACUGAGGCAGGAGAAUUGCUGGAACCCAGGAGGUGGAGGUUGCAGUGAGCCAAGAUUGUGCCACUGCACUCCAACCUGGGCAAUAGAGUGGGACUCCGUCUCAAAAAAUAAAUAAACAAAAUAAAAUAGAGGGCCAGGUGUGGUCCCUCACACUUGUAAUCCCAGCACUUUAGGAAGCCCGGAGUUUGAGACCAGCCUGAGCACCACCAGGUUGCCAAAGGAGGGGUGAACUGGCCCCAGAUCGGAAACGGAGCAGGUCAAAACUCCGGUGCUGAUCAGUAGUGGGAUAGAGCCUGUGAAUAGCCACUGCACUCCAGCCUGUGCAACAUAGCGAGACCCUGUCUCUU